rnacentral:rRNA from 1 species
AUUGAACGCUGGCGGCAUGCUUUACACAUGCAAGUCGAACGGUAACAGGGAGCUUGCUCCGCUGACGAGUGGCGAACGGGUGAGUAAUGCGUCGGAACGUGCCGAGUAGUGGGGGAUAACGCAUCGAAAGGUGUGCUAAUACCGCAUACGAACUGAGGUUGAAAGUGGGGGACCUUCGGGCCUCACGCUAUUCGAGCGGCCGACGUCUGAUUAGCUAGUUGGUGAGGUAAAGGCUCACCAAGGCGACGAUCAGCAGCGGGUCUGAGAGGAUGAUCCGCCACACUGGGACUGAGACACUGCCCAGACUCCUACGGGAGGCAGCAGUGGGGAAUUUUGGACAAUGGGCGCAAGCCUGAUCCAGCCAUGCCGCGUGUCUGAAGAAGGCCUUCGGGUUGUAAAGGACUUUUGUCCGGGAGCAAAUGCUGGUGGCUAACAUCCACCGGAGCUGAGAGUACCGGAAGAAUAAGCACCGGCUAACUACGUGCCAGCCGCCGCGGUAACAC